rnacentral:rRNA from 1 species
UACGUAGGCAGCGAGCGUUGUUCGGAGUUACUGGGCGUAAAGGGUGCGCAGGCGGCCCUGCGCGUCGCGAGUGAAAUCUCCCGGCUCAACUGGGAGGGUGGUCGCGAGACGGCAGGGCUUGAGGCUCGGUGAGGGGCGUGGAAUUCCGGGUGGAGCGGUGAAAUGCGUAGAGAUCCGGAGGAACACCAACGGCGUAGGCAGCGCCCUAGACGAGACCUGACGCUCAGGCACGAAAGCGCGGGGAGCGAACAGG